CUACGUGCCAGCAGCCGCGGUAAUACGUAGGUCCCGAGCGUUGUCCGGAUUUAUUGGGCGUAAAGCGAGCGCAGGCGGUUAGAUAAGUCUGAAGUUAAAGGCUGUGGCUUAACCAUAGUACGCUUUGGAAACUGUUUAACUUGAGUGCAGAAGGGGAGAGUGGAAUUCCAUGUGUAGCGGUGAAAUGCGUAGAUAUAUGGAGGAACACCGGUGGCGAAAGCGGCUCUCUGGUCUGUAACUGACGCUGAAGCUCGAAAGCGUGGGGAGCGAACAGGAUUAGAUACCCUGGUAGUCCACGCCGUAAACGAUGAGUGCUAGGUGUUAGGCCCUUUCCGGGGCUUAGUGCCGCAGCUAACGCAUUAAGCACUCCGCCUGGGGAGUACGACCGCAAGGUUGAAACUCAAAGGAAUUGACGGGGGCCCGCACAAGCGGUGGAGCAUGUGGUUUAAUUCGAAGCAACGCGAAGAACCUUACCAGGUCUUGACAUCCCGAUGCCCGCUCUAGAGAUAGAGUUUUA
rnacentral:rRNA from 1 species